rnacentral:rRNA from 1 species
GAUGAACGCUGGCGGCGUGCCUAAUACAUGCAAGUCGAGCGAAUGGAUUAAGAGCUUGCUCUUAUGAAGUUAGCGGCGGACGGGCGAGUAACACGUGGGUAACCUGCCCAUAAGACUGGGAUAACUCCGGGAAACCGGGGCUAAUACCGGAUAACAUUUUGAACUGCAUGGUUCGAAAUUGAAAGGCGGCUUCGGCUGUCACUUAGGGAUGGACCCGCGUCGCAUUAGCUAGUUGGUGAGGUAACGGCCUACCAAGGCAACGGUGCGUAGCCGACCUGAGAGGGUGAUCGGCCACACUGGGACUGAGACACGGCCCAGACUCCUACGGGAGGCAGCAGUAGGGAAUCUUCCGCAAUGGACGAAAGUCUGACGGAGCAACGCCGCGUGAGUGAUGAAGGCUUUCGGGUCGUAAAACUCUGUUGUUAGGGAAGAACAAGUGCUAGUUGAAUAAGCUGGCACCUUGACGGUACCUAACCAGAAAGCCACGGCUAACUACGUGCCAGCAGCCGCGGUAA